rnacentral:rRNA from 1 species
UGCCAGCAGCCGCGGUAAUACGAAGGUCCCGAGCGUUGUUCGGAUUUACUGGGCGUAAAGAGUCUGUAGGCGGUAAAGUAAGUCAGGUGUGAAAUCCCGGAGCUCAACUCCGGAACUGCACCCGAUACUGCUUUACUAGAGUAUUGGAGGGGCAUCUGGAAUUCUCGGUGUAGCAGUGAAAUGCGUAGAUAUCGAGAGGAACACUAGUGGCGAAGGCGAGAUGCUGGACAAUUACUGACGCUGAGAGACGAAGGCCAGGGUAGCGAAAAGGAUUAGAUA